ensembl:lncRNA
AGAAUCCAACAGCAGAGUCACGAUAAACAACAGUCCUUGGGUUUUCUUGGAGCAAGGACACAUCUAACAGAACCACAAAACAAUAGAUUGCUUCAGCAGUCAGAGUGCAGAUGCCUUUGAAGAAGUCUGUGGGAUCUGCUACCCUCACUUUAGGAUGGUGCUUUUGAAUCUGUACGUUUGAAUCUUUGGCAUUCAGAAACAAAAUCUGAGAGAAAAAGGAAAAAAAGGAAAGAAGAAAAGGAAAAAAUAAAGAAGAAGAAGAAGAAGAAUGAAAAAUGAAGAAGACCAGGGGAUUCUGGUGAAUGGCAAGCUGGACAUGAACCAGCAAUGUGCCCUUACAGAAAGUGAACCGUAUCCUGGGUACUGGCACAGAUUGCCCAGUGAUGUGGUCAACGCCCUGUCCCUGGAGACUUUCAAGGUAAGGCUGGAUAAAACCCUGGGCAACCUGAUCUAGCUGUACGUGUUCCUGUUCACUGCAAGGGAUUUGGACUAGAUGGCCUUCAGAUGUCCCUUCCAACUGUAAGGAUUCUAUGAUUCUAUGAAAAAAGAAGAUAA